rnacentral:rRNA from 2 species
CCCACCUCUUCCCAUUCCGAACAGAGAAGUUAAGCCCACUUGCGCCGAUGGUACUGCAAUGCAAUGCGGGAGAGUAGGUAGCCGCCCUUU